UGGGGAAUCUUGCGCAAUGGGCGAAAGCCUGACGCAGCCAUGCCGCGUGAAUGAUGAAGGUCUUAGGAUUGUAAAAUUCUUUCACCGGGGACGAUAAUGACGGUACCCGGAGAAGAAGCCCCGGCUAACUUCGUGCCAGCAGCCGCGGUAAUACGAAGGGGGCUAGCGUUGCUCGGAAUUACUGGGCGUAAAGGGAGCGUAGGUGGACAGUUUAGUCAGAGGUGAAAGCCCAGGGCUCAACCUUGGAAUUGCCUUUGAUACUGGCUGUCUUGAGUACGGAAGAGGUAUGUGGAACUCCGAGUGUAGAGGUGAAAUUCGUAGAUAUUCGGAAGAACACCAGUGGCGAAGGCGACAUACUGGUCCGUUACUGACACUGAGGCUCGAAAGCGUGGGGAGCAAACA
rnacentral:rRNA from 1 species